CAGACCCUCCUAUCAUGUAACCCCCAUGGCAAUGGGCUGCUGUACGCCGGCUUCAACCAGGAUCACGGGUGUUUUGCAUGUGGAAUGGAAAAUAGAUUCCGAGUCUAUAAUACUGAUCCACUCAAAAAGAGAAACAAGAAUUUUUAGGAGGAGGAGUUGGCCAUGUGGAAAUGUUAUUUUGCUGUAACUAUUUAGCUUUAGUUGGUGGUGGAAAAAAAACUGAAAUACCCUCCCAACAAGGUGAUGAUCUGAGGAAGAAGACAGUCAUUGAGAGAAUUCUCCACAGAGGUCAAGGCUGUCAAGUUGCAGAGAUAGAAUUGUGGUGGUUCUGGACUCCAUGAUUAAGGUGUUCACACUCACACACAAUCCCUACCAGUUGCACGUCUUUGAAACCUGCUAUAAUCCUAAAGGCCUCUGUGUCCUGUGUCCCAACAGUAACAACUCCCUUCUUGCCUUCCCUGACACUCACACUGGCCAUGUACAGUUUGUGGACCUGCCAACACUGAAAAGCCACCAGAGGACAUUCCCGCACAUGAGGGUGUCCUGAGCUGUAUUGCUCUCAACUUACAGGGAACAAGAAUUGCAACUGCAUCUGAAAAAGGGACCCUUAUAAGAAUAUUUGAUACUUCAUUGGGGCAUUUAAUCCAGGAGCUACGAAGAGGAUCUCAAGCAGCCAAUAUCUAUUGCAUCAACUUCAAUCAGGAUGCUUCUCUCAUCUGUGUGUCCAGUGAUCACGGCACUGUGCACAUUUUUGUAGCCGAAGAUCCAAAAAGCAAUAACAGUAUAGUUUGGCAUCAGCCACUUUCCUUCCAAAAUACUUCAGCUCCAAAUGGAGUUUUUCCAAGUUUCAGGUUCCUUCAGGCUCGCCAUGCAUCUGUGCCUUUGGAACAGAGCCCAAUGCAGUCAUCGCUAUCUGUGCAGAUGGCAGCUACUACAAGUUCCUGUUCAGUCCUAAGGGCAAGUGUGUCCUGGACGUGUGUGCACAGUUCCUAGAGAUGACCGAUGACAAGCU
rnacentral:lncRNA from 1 species